AAACUUACAUGGCUAGGAGGUUUCCGCGAUCAACAGGGCGGGACUUCCAAGAAAAGAUCUUUGCAUUGCACCUUGGCGCAGGCUGACCUGCACGACAGCUUUGAGUUGAAUUCGCCAACAGCUAAGAUUUUUUUUAAUGUUCAAAAAACAUACAACUGUUUUGUAUC
rnacentral:snRNA from 13 species